rnacentral:rRNA from 1 species
UACGAAGGGGGCUAGCGUUGUUCGGAAUUACUGGGCGUAAAGCGCACGUAGGCGGAUUUGCCAGUCAGGGGUGAAAUCCCGGGGCUCAACCUCGGAACUGCCCUUGAUACAGCAAAUCUUGAGUCCGGAAGAGGUGAGUGGAAUUCCUAGUGUAGAGGUGAAAUUCGUAGAUAUUAGGAAGAACACCAGUGGCGAAGGCGGCUCACUGGUCCGGUACUGACGCUGAGGUGCGAAAGCGUGGGGAGCAAACAGG